UACGUAGGGGGCAAGCGUUGUCCGGAAUUAUUGGGCGUAAAGCGCGUGUAGGCGGCUCGGUAAGUCUGCUGUGAAAGUCUAGGGCUCAACCCUGGAAUGCCGGUGGAUACUGUCGAGCUAGAGUCCGGAAGAGGCGAGUGGAAUUCCUGGUGUAGCGGUGAAAUGCGCAGAUAUCAGGAAGAACACCCGUGGCGAAGGCGGCUCUCUGGAACGCAACUGACGCUGAGACGCGAAAGCGUGGGGAGCAAACAGG
rnacentral:rRNA from 1 species